rnacentral:lncRNA from 1 species
CAUGCCUUCUGUAUUAACAAAUUCUCGAGUACUUAUGUAUGCGGAUGAUGUUAUGCUCUGUGUCCAGUAUAAGGACAUUUCAUUUCACUCUCGGUUGCAAUCAGAUCUCAAUAUCUUUCAGUCAUGGUGCUGUGCAAAUAUGUUACAACUUAAUGCCUCGAAAUGCAAUGUAAUGACUUUUUAUCGCUCCAACCCCUUCCUGGCUCCUUACACCCUCUGCGGUAGUUCUCUUGAGAGAAUUACAUUGGAUAAUGAUCUAGGUGUUAAACUAGACCCCAAUUUAAAGUUUUC